CGUACUUCAGGAAGCCGGGCAGCCUGCCCCACCAUCGGCUUCAGAGUGUUUUCAUCACCACCCAAAGAAACCCCACUCACAUUUUCCUAUUUUGAUUGUUUAGGUCUUCCUGUAUUAGGCGGAAUCAGUUUGCUCUGCUUCUGUCUACAGCCCAGGCCUUGGAGUGGGGUCCCCUUUCUCCUUACCCCACAGACGUCUUCUUGGUCAACGUUGAGUGCUGAGGAGACCCUGCUGCUCUUGUGCCUGGCUGGAUCCAUCGGGCCUGUCUGUGGGAUUUACUGCUGGGGUCUCUGUUGACCGAAUGUCUGUCCACCAGCUGUGUCCCUCUGUUACCGCUGUUGACCGGUGACGAGUCCUUGCUUCCCCCAUGUUGAAGAAUAACACCAAAGAAGCACGCCAAGGCAAGGUCAGAGUAGAAAUCAGAAGUUUAUUAAAGGACAGCAGAAAAGACUUCUCCCGGAGGGAGAAGGGGACCCAAGAGGUGGAAUCCGUGGAAGUGCGGUUGUCUCCCCUUUUUAUAGUUUUGGUGAUGGAAUGUAAGGGGAAGGGUUGGGACACAGGUGGGCCAAAGAAGUAAUCUGGGCAGGAAGGACUUCUGAGUCAGCACCUUUUUGCUGGGGGCUGUUCAUUAACAUUUCUUUGAGGUGGACUUGGCCUAGGGCCUUUUCGGGACUUCAUUAACAUUCCAUGAGUUGUCCUGUGUUUUCCCUGAGUCAUUCUCCGCAUGGCCUCCAUUUUAGAUUUCACUCGAUAUUAGACCCGAUUUACCUAACUACACUGACUACCUAACUUUAAAUCUGGCUUCACCUCCUUGAUGAGGCUCCACCUGGGGAGACCGAGGACUCCCUGGUUGUAUUUCUUGGGCAGUGUUGUUUGAUCUAUAUUCAGUUGCUCCGGCCCUGUCUUUUCCACAGAGGUGCCACAACACCCUUGCCUGCAUCCAUAGGGUUUCACUGGAUCCUUGUGGUUGGUGUUGCAGUAGUGGCAUGACCCCAGGGCCUGCACGGGCCAGGCAAGCACUGUAACACAGGGCUGCAUCCCAGACCUCUUAAUUUAUUUUGAGACAGAUGCCCAGGCUGGCCUGGAACUUGCCAUCCUCUGCCUCGACUGUACCCGGCUGGAGACGCACUUCUGAGAUGACUACCCCAGCCAGGGCUCUGGUUGGUUAUUUUCAUCACAAGGGGCUUCCUCCCAAGGGCUAGCCCAGCCCAGUGUCCCCCAUGCACCCUGGCUACUGCUCUGUACUGCCUACUGUCCUACUUAUUCAUCUCCUAAAUUGAUAUUGGAGGCGGAGCCAACCAGAAUGACUGGCAUUGGGAGGGCAGGUCCGACAUUGACCGGCUUAGUGUGCUCUAUUCACAGUCCACUUAGGUCCCGAGUCACACAGGUCUUUUAAGUAGAUCUAUGAGAGGGAGUAGUCCUCUGAUGAACUCAGAGUUUUUUUCAAGAGAAAAUUUAUAACUGAAUUUGACUUUUAGGCCAUUAACUGGGACUAAUAAACUGGAUAGAAAUUUUAAAGAGAUCCAUUAAGGGAUGAUCAUGUAAUAUUUGAAUUUAAAUUGCUUCUUAAAAACCCUACUCCUAGGCUUUAAAAAGCCCUGCAGAGCUAUUACUGUAGUUUUUCAAAAGCUGUACUUUUAAGAACAAAUGAAUGAAUUUUAAGAGACACAGUGUUUUACUCACCAUUUUUAUAUAAUACACUUAUGACUCCUGCUUCCAGUAUGUGCACACCUAUUACUAAUCCCAAC
rnacentral:lncRNA from 1 species